rnacentral:lncRNA from 1 species
CACAGGACAGCUGUUUACAUUGUGGAUUCAGCAUAUUGAACUGCAGAACAGAAUAUUGAACUGGCAAACAAAUGAGGUGAGAAUCUUUGUUUUGAAAGAAUUCCUCACAUUAAAACUGGGGUCUUAGGGUCCCUUUCAAAUGUUAUCUUCCCAAAUGUUUGCUUACAAAUCAUUAAAUUCUUAACAAAAGCAGAAGCGAAGAGCUGAAGUGCUCCAAGUCAAGGACCGGGAAACCCGCAAAACAAAAGCAAUGCUGGUUAGUGAAUGGCUCGUGGUAGGUGGUUAUAUGAGUGAAUGGACACAUGAACAAAUUCCAAAUACUUGGAAUGUAUAUUUUUUUCUUUUUCUUCUGCCGGAUAGGAAACUAAAAAUGCCUAUUGAGGACUAUAGUGAUGUUAUGAAAAACCUAGAUUUAAACUGAGAAACUGAUUCCCAAGCUAAAGAUCAAAACAAGAGCAACAGCAUCUAUUAAGUGCUUCUGUGGCUGCUAUUUUUUGAUU